rnacentral:misc_RNA from 1 species
GCUUGGAAAUGAAUUGAGUGGGAAAGGAGUUGGAGCAAGAAUAGCAGCAAACCAAUAUGCUGCUGACACGAUUUCCCUGUAUAAGAUAGUGCAACAUAUUUACAAUGAAACUGAAACUAAGCCUCUAAUUAUAGCACCUGGAGGAUUGUUUGAUGCAAAUUGGUUCAAAGAAUUCAUAGAUAAAACAGGAAAUUCAGUAGAUGUGAUCACCCAUCAUAUAUACAAUCUCGGUCCAGGAUCUGAUGAACAUCUUGUUGAAAAGAUU